rnacentral:rRNA from 1 species
AUACGGAGGGUGCAAGCGUUAAUCGGAAUUACUGGGCGUAAAGCGCGCGUAGGUGGUUUGUUAAGUGGGAUGUGAAAGCCCCGGGCUCAACCUGGGAACUGCAUUCCAAACUGAUGAACUAGAGUACGGUAGAGGGGGGUAGAAUUCAGAGUGUAGCGGUGAAAUGCGUAGAUAUUCUGAGGAAUACCGGUGGCGAAGGCGGCUUCCUGGUCCGAAACUGACGCUGAAACGCGAAAGCCAGGGGAGCGAACGGGAUUAGAAACCCCGGUAGUCC